UACGUAGGGGGCAAGCGUUUGUCCGGAAUCAUUGGGCGUAAAGCGCGUGUAGGCGGCUCGAUAAGUCUGCUGUGAAAGUCCAGGGCUCAACCCUGGGAUGCCGGUGGAUACUGUCGAGCUCGAGUCCGGAAGAGGCGAGUGGAAUUCCUGGUGUAGCGGUGAAAUGCGCAGAUAUCAGGAGGAACACCAAUGGCGAAGGCAGCUCGCUGGGACGUGACUGACGCUGAGACGCGAAAGCGUGGGGAGCAAACAGG
rnacentral:rRNA from 1 species